GACGAACGCUGGCGGCGUGCCUAAUACAUGCAAGUCGAGCGGGCCUCCGGAGGUGCUUGCGCCUCCGGAAGGCCAGCGGCGGACGGGUGAGUAACACGUGGGCAACCUGCCUUUGAGGCCGGGAUAACACCGGGAAACCGGUGCUAAUACCGGAUACGUCCUCUUUCGCGCCUGCGAGAGGGGAGAAAGACGGUCUUUAAGGCCGUCGCUCAAAGAGGGGCCCGCGGCGCAUUAGCUUGUUGGUGGGGUAAGGGCCUACCAAGGCGACGAAGCGUUGGCGACCUGAGAGGGGGAUCGGCCACACUGGGACUGAGACACGGCCCAGACUCCUGCGGGAGGCAGCAGUAGGGAAUCAUCCGCAAUGGGCGAAAGCCUGACGGUGCAACGCCGCGUGAGUGAGGAAGGUUUUCGGAUCGUAAAGCUCUGUUGUGAGGGAAGAACAGCUUCCGGAGGAAAUGCCGGAGGUUUGCCGGUACCUCACCAGAAAGCCCCGGCUAACUACGUGCCAGCCGCCGCCGUAA
rnacentral:rRNA from 1 species